UACGUAGGGCGCGAGCGUUGUCCGGAAUCAUUGGGCGUAAAGAGCUCGUAGGCGGCCUGUCGCGUCUGCUGUGAAAUCCCGGGGCUUAACCCCGGGCGUGCAGUGGAUACGGGCUGGCUGGAGGCAGGCAGGGGAGAACGGAAUUCCCGGUGUAGCGGUGAAAUGCGCAGAUAUCGGGAGGAACACCGGUGGCGAAGGCGGUUCUCUGGGCCUGUACUGACGCUGAGGCGCGAAAGCGUGGGGAGCAAACAGG
rnacentral:rRNA from 1 species